CCGAGAGCAGCUCUCCGACCUCCGAUUGGACUCUUGAGGGAACCGAGACCCAGUCGGGGCGACAACUUGCCCGAGGUCGCUAUGGCAGAGUCAGGAUUGGAUAACCGUACGGUCUCCGGAUCCAAGGCUGGCUCCAGAUAAGAUGGGGUCUCACUAUGAGAAGGAAACACUUAUAAUGUUAAAUGAACAAAGCAGGAUUUGCAAACAAAAGAGAUAAGCGAACUCCAUGCUGCUUUUCAGGGACAACUUUGCUGAUGGCUGCCUUCCCAGUGUCCCCAGAGUGGUUGGUGACAACUCAAUAAUGACUCUUCCUUAAUGGUAUGAAGAGAGGAAUUGUAAGAUUAUGAGGAAACUUGCCACAAUCAUCCAAGAAUUUAAAAUAUCCAUUUGAAGUCUGGGAAGUGGAGCCAGGAAGCACGUUUUGGAUGGGCACUCCUGGAAGAGAGCAUCUCUGUGUGCCUAGAAGGAGAAGAGCUUUGCAAUUCUUUUUUAUGAACCAUGUGACGAAGAUGUACCAAGAACUGCUUCUAUCAGUGAAGGAGACAGCCUGGUUUCAGAGGAAAUGCAUUUACAGUGAUUCUUUGCUUUUAGACAUUCAGCAAAAGAGUGCUGUGACGAGAACUGGGCAGAACAUCAGCUCAUCAGAAGCAGUGACAUCCAAGAGCCCAGAGGAGCCUGAAGAACAAUUGAGAGAAGCCUCCUUUGCCAACGCGUUGCCCACCAGGGCUGCACGUGGUACCCUUGCUCCAAGAUGCUUCCCAAAAACACCAGGACCAGGCAGUUAAAUGGCACUUGUACCAGCUCGGUGGACAUGGAGCUCUUCCUUCAUUAUUCCCUCAUCCCAUCACUCUUCAUCAUGUUGAUCUUGUCCUUCCUUCAAAGAUGAGAGCAUUGUAGACAGAGAGAUGAUACCUCUUACCUGCUGGGGAACUGCUUUGGCAUUAUCAUGCCUCUGGACUUCGUGGGCACUUUCAGUAACCGAUGGUCCUAUGGAAUCACCUUUGGGGCCACAGCUAAUAAGGUCAUGUUUUUGUUCUCAGAAGGCUACCAGCCCCUGCAGAUCCCGCAGUGGGCCCAAGCCUUUGAGCUUCUGAUUGGAGGCAUUGAAGUCGGCCUGUCCCACUUCCCCUUCUUUGCCUGCCUCUCGUCGGAAUUCCAGCUGGUCAGCUCCAUCUUGGGCUUCUGCUACUCUGAUCUGGUUUGCUGUCACCAUUAUUCAAGUUUCACAGUGUCCCCACGGGCAGGUAAGUCUCUAUUGGCCUUUUUUGGGGUUUUCAGUCCUAUCACCAUGGUCAAGUUGCUGUGUGAUCUUGAACAAGCCUCUGUCACUACUGGGGCUCCACUUUUUCAUUUGCAUAAAAAGGUAGUUGUUGUCGUUCGUGAUGCUUCCAUUUGUAGAGCACCCCAUGUUCAUCAAGGUGUGCAUUCACAGACAGGUGUUUUCUCAUUUACUCCUCAGAAGUAAAGCUUCUGUUCCAUUGGCCUGUGUGUCUGUUUUUGUACCAGGGCCAUGCUGCUUUGGUCACUGUAGCCUUGUAGAUGGUUUAAGUCAGGUAGUGUGAUGCCAUCAGCUUCAUUCUUUUUGCAUAGGAUUGCUUUGGCUGUCUUCCACAUAGCUAGUCAAUCACAAGUUGUGCUAAUGUGUUCUGCCGUUUCUCAAACCUGUCUCUCCUCUCAAUUCUUACUACCACCCUGGUUUUCAGACCAUCAACAUCUCUCACCUAAGCUGUGUAGUAGCCUCCUAACUGAUCCCUGACACUUCAGUGUUGCCCCUCUGCCCUCACCACUGAAACACAGACUACCUAAAACAAAAUUAUCCUGAGACUUCCCUUCUUAAAAUCCUUUUUUGACUCCUAUUUCCUAUUAAAUAAUGUCUAUACUUCUUAAUGUAAUGGACAGGCAUCUCCUGUUCCUCUCUGCUCUACCUUUGUUACCUAUUUGUAGUAAUAGGUAAAUGUUUAUAAUUUCCCCUGAAGUCCCUCUGCUAUUCAGUGCUUCCAUGUAUUUGUUCAUUAUGAUCUUUUUCUCUGAAACUCCCUCACCACUUUUCCUCCUGGUUAAUUAUUUACUGUCCUUCAAGCCUAAGCUCAAGCAUCAUCUUUUUCAGAAAACCUACUUUGAAGUUCCAGAGUGGACCAAUGGCCCCUUUUAAUGCUCCCCAUAGUCAUCGUGCUGAUCUCUAUCUUUUCACUUUAAACAUGCUUUUAAACCUACUUCCUGAGUAUAAAGUUUGUUAUAAUUUUAAUAUUUGUAUUUUUCUAUGUCUUGUUCUUCUCUUUAUGGUUUCUGUUGACUCCUGCUUAUGGUAGUUUGACACUUCAACUCUUUGUUAAAUUUUAUAAAUAGCUCAUAUUUGUCUAAACUUUAACUUUGGGUUUCCUGAGAGACCGAAAUUGAGAUGAUUUGCUUGGUUUCUGCUUGGCUCUGGAAGCAGGACCAAUCAGGAACCAUUCUAGUUAGAUUUAUUGGUUUGAGUUUUCUUGGACUAUGAGUAUGGUGUAAAUUCAAAUUCCAGCAUAAAAGUAAAGCUGGUUAGAAAACAUUAGGGAAGACUAUUAAAAUUAUUAAUGUUUUACAACCCACCGCCUGCAGAGACUGAUUUGCUUAUUGGUUCACUUGUCAUAUCCUUCCAGCUUUGUCUUUUCCACUAAAUAUGUAGCCCAUUUUGGUGCCUGGAUUUAUGUGGAGGUCUCAGAUUCAGUUUCCUACCUUAUCAGGUUCAAAUCCUGUUAGUCAGUUAACCAGAAAAAUUCUAGAUUCCCAGGAAUGUGUCAGAGCAUUUCAGUGUCCCCUAUUGACAUCUCAUUCCCAGCUCUUUAAAAAAGAAAGUAUUUUUAUUUUCCUAUUGAUUGCCCCAAUUCCUAUGUACUACCUCAGGCAGCCGCAAUAUUAACUAACAAAGCUCUAGGUUUUUGGUUUUGGCACACUUCCAGGGCAUCUCUGGCUUCUGUGUUGACUGAUGACUUUAGUUUCACCUCUAGAUUGUUUGCGUGCAUGCGUGUGUGUGUGUGUAAUCAUUUUGUACUUCCUCUACAUUUUUGUGAGUUCAGAAAUGUAUUUAAAAGCGUAUUUGGGGUCGGGCGCAGUGGCUCACACCUGUGAUCCCAGCACUUUGGGAGGCUGAUGCGGGAGGAUCACCUGAGUUCAGGAGUUCGAGACCUGCCUGGCCAACAUGGCAAAACCCCAUCUCUACUAAAAAUACAAAAGUUAGCUGGGCAUGGUGGCGUGGACCUAUAAUCCCAGCUACUAGGGAGACUGAAGCAGGAGAAUUGCUUGAACUUGGGAGGCGGAGGUUGCAGUGAGCCAAGACCACACCAUUGCACUCCAGCCUGGACAACAGAGCGAGACUCUAUCUCAAAAAAAAAAAAAAAAAAAAAAAAAGUGUAUUUGGAAGUGAUGUCAGUAAAAAUGGCAAGCUAGGAACCUUCUAAAAUUCCUGUCUUCAUAAAAGCAACUCAGAAAAAUAGAAGCAACUUUUUCAGAACUCCGGAAAAUAUCCAAAGGUUUGCUGUAAUCUCGGAGCAUUUAUUCAAGAACAUAGGCUGAAUUUUGGUUAGAAUAGUGAGAUUUGUAAUGUUCUUAUUUGCUCUAUGCUCAUCACAUCCUCCCAGCUACAUGGUAGCCUUGAAAACCAACAUCCUACAAUCUUGGUGAAAAACAAGCUCCUGGGAGCCAUAGAAAGAAACAAAAGAGGUUUGGGACUCAUUCCUUUUUUUUCCUCUCCCUCCCACUGUCAGACAGCAUGGGCUGUACCGUGCAUUCCCUCCUCUGGAGAAAUGAUGGUAGGUUUCCACAUCUGUGUAGCAUCUCCCGCUCUGGAGAUCACCCUGAGCCCUUGCAUCUCCCACCAGGUAAGCCAAGCCCAGUCCAGGCCUGGCUGUGAGCCUGGGCCUGGCACUCAAUUUUCCUGAGUCAUUAUUUACACAACAGAAAUAAUGAAAGUGUCUACCAUGAAGGGAUGCUGUGAGGACUAAAUGAGCUGUAUACAUAAAAGGCCUGGCCCAGAAUGAGCACUCAGAGAUGGUGGAUGUAGUUUUUUGUGCGAAUAAAGUGUUCAGACAGGUUCCGCAAGCUUCAUCUGCGUAAAGUUUUAACAUGAUCUCUGGAUGCUUGUCAGAUAAUUGUCUAGAUUAAUCACUUGAAAAGCAUUACACACACACACACACACAUACACUGUUUUGUGAUCUGCUUUUUUCAACAAAACAAAAUACUGGAACAAAAUUUCAUGUUUCAAUUCUUCAUCUAGAUCAUAAUUGUAAAUAGCUAAUUGUGUGGUGAUACGCAGUGAUAUUUAAUCAGUCCCGUAUUCUGAAACAUUGAGGUGGUUUUCCACUUGUCAUUGUUUGAAAAACUUCAUGCCAAAUGUAUUUACGAUAUUAUUCCCCUUAUAAUAUUAUUCCCUUGCCAGAUUUUCUAGAAUACAUUUCUAGAAAUGAAAUUACUGAUUUGAAGAAUAUGCAUGUUUUUAAGGUUUUGAUUUCUGUUACCACUAGAACUUUGCUAAAAUAAUUUUACUGAGAAAGUGAUGUGGUACAUUUUUGUAUGAGAGCCAUGUUUUUUAUUUUUUAAAAAUUGCAGCAAAAUACACUGAAGAGUGCAGUUCAGUGGCAUUAGACAUUUAUGUUGCUCUGUUACCAUUACCACUGCCCAUCCUCACACUCUUUUCAUCUUGCAAAGCUGAGACUUCUUAUUUUUAACCUCUAAGUUUUAUAAAAUUAAAUAGAUUAAAUAAUAUUUAGGGUUGGUGUGAGUGUGGAGAAGUGGGUCCCCUCAUUUACUGGUAAGUUGAUGUAAUUUUGUUGAUCAAAAAAUUGGGAAUAUUUAUGCUUUGUAAAAAAGUACAUACUGUUUGCCUCAAUGAAUCCACUUAUAGUCUACAAAAGUAGUCACACAAGCAUGGAUAUUAUAGUCACAUAUUCAAAGAUUUUUCUGUAGCAUAAUUUAUAAUAUAAAACAACUGAAAAGAAUCUAUAAGUUUAUCUAUAAUGAGAUUUUAAGUUACGGUUACAUGUGAUGGUUAAGCAGAAUGAGUUGUAUCUGUGUGUAUAGUUGUAUCUGUGUGUAAUGAAAAGGUGUGCAGGAUAACUGUAAGUACAAAAAAACAAACUUCAGAACAAUGUUUAUAGUAUGAUCCUAUUAAAAAACCACAAUAAUAAUACAUUACUUGGCAAAAUUCUCCUUCAUAAAUAAGGGAGGGAUAAAGACUUCUUCACACAAACAGAGGGAGGAAGUCCAUUAACACUAGACUUGCCUUACAAGAAAUACUAAAAGGAGUUCUUCAAACUGAAAAUGAAAGGCUGCUAAUUAAUCAUAUGAAAACAUAUGAAAGUAUAAAAUUCACUGGUAAAGGUACAUAUAUAGUCAAAAGUAUUAAGAAUAACUUCAUAAUAACUCAUUAAGUGAUACACAACAUAAAAGAUGUAAAGUGUGAUAUCAAAAACAGAAUGUGUAUGUGUGUGUGCAGAGCUUUUAUACAGGAUCAAAGUUAAGUUGUUGUUAGCUUAAAAUGGACUAGUAUAACUAUAAGAUGUUUUAAUAUGCCUCAUAGCAAUCAUGAAGCAAAAACUUAGCAGAUACGCUAAGAUGAAGAGAAAGGAAUCAAAGCAUACCACAACUGAAAAUCCUCGAAUCACAAAUAAAGACAGCAAGAGAGGAAAAAAAUAGUAAAAGAGCUGCAAAGCAACCAGAAAACAAUCAACAAAAUGACAAUAAUCAAUCCUUCUCUAUCAAUAAUUACUUUAAAUGUAAAUGAACUAAAUUUGCUGAUCAAAAGACACAGGGUGGCUUUAUGGAUUUAAAAAAUACAAAAACAAGGCCAGGCCUGGUGGCUCAUACCUGUAAUCCCAGCACUUUGGGAGGCAGAUGUGGGUGGACUGCUUGAGGCUGGGAGUUCGAGACCAGCCUGGCCGACAUGGCAAAACCCCGUCUCUACUAAAAAUACAAAAAUUAGCUGGGUGUGGUGGCAAAUGCCUGUGGUUGCAGCUACUAGGGGGGCUGAGGCAGGAGAAUUGCUUGAACCUGUGAGGCAGAGUUGCAGUGAGUCGAGAUUGCGCCACUGCACUCUAGUCUGGGAGACAGAGUGAGACUGAGUCUCAAAAAAAAGAGAAAAGAAAAAACAAGACCCAACUAUAUGUUGCUACAAGAGACUCACUUCACCUUUAAAGCUACACACAGACUGAAAGGGAAGGGACGAGAAAAGAUAUUCCAUGCAAAUGGAAAGCAAAGAGCACAGGGGUAGUUAUACUAGACAAACUAGGCUUUAAGUCAAAAACUAACAGGACAAAGAUGGUUAUUAUAUAAUGAUAGAGGAGUCAAUUCAUAAAGAGGAUAGAACAGUUGUAAAUAAUAUGCACCCAACAUCGGGUACACUUAAAUAUAUAAGGCAAAUAUUCACAGAUCUAAAGGGAGGAAUAGACGGCAAUACAAUAAUAGCAAGGGACUUUAAUACUCCACUUUCAACAAUGGAUAGAUCAUUCAGACAGGAAAACAGUAAGAAAACAUUAGACUUGAACUAAACUUUAAACCAAAUGGACUUAACAGACAUAAAGAGAACAUUCCAUCCAAUAACAACAGAAUGCACAUCUUCUCAAGCACACAUGGAACAUUCUCCAGGACAGAGCAAAUGUUGGGCCACAAAGCAAAUCUUAAUAAAUUUGAGAAGAUAUAGAUCAUAUCAAGUUUCUUUUGGGACCACAAUGGUAUGAAACUGGAAAUCAAUAAUGGGAGAAAAACGGGAAAGUUCACAGAUACAUGGAAAUUAAACAACAUGCUUCUAAGCAAUCAAUGGGUAAAAGAAGAAA